UUCUGGACGGGCCAUAGCUCAGUGGUACAGCAUCUGUCUUACAUGCAGAAAGUCCCAGGUUUGAUCCCUGGCUGGGAAU